rnacentral:lncRNA from 1 species
CCCGUCCUCCCCCGGCACCCCACCCCAGGAUACCCCGUUGCCUUGGAGACCACAAGUUUUCAACCUCCUUGUCUGAAGGAAUGGCUGUUAACAUGCGGCUAUUUGCGGUCUUCCCUUAUGUUUUUUCGAUGUCAGUUUUCUUGUCGGAGGCAUCCUUUGAGUCGGGAACUCCAGAUUUGCAUUUUGGAAUAUUGGUUGCCUCUUAGUCCCUGACAAGUGUCUGAAUCUAUAGUCAUACGGUUACAAGGAAAAUAAGCAAAUGAUGAAAAGAGGUGCUAAAGACAUACCUGCUGGGCAAGAAGGGGAGAGUCUAGAGACUCGUUUCAGGAAGAGAUUCUUCUAGAUGUGCCUGUGUGAUGAGACAGGCGGAUGUUUUUCCUGUAAGUCUGGAAUACCCUAGCACUUCAAUAAAAGCUGGC